rnacentral:lncRNA from 1 species
CCGCAUGUAGGAGGAAGGGACAACAUUGUCCGUCAUGCUUCUUGGCUCAAUUUUUUAUACUGAUCUAUAGCAAAGUGUGGUUAUAGCAAGAUUGUUAAUCGGCUAAUUGUAGCUGCACAUGGAGAGUGGCCUGAAAGAGAAUGGCCAACAUGUAGCUCAAAUAGAAGUUUUUCCGACUUUAAUGAUUUUCAUUUUGUUACAUAAUUAAAAUUAAUAAAUCAAUAACA